CGGGCUUAACUUGGGUGCUGCAUUUCAAACUGGAUAUCUAGAGUGCAGGAGAGGAGAAUGGAAUUCCUAGUGUAGCGGUGAAAUGCGUAGAGAUUAGGAAGAACACCAGUGGCGAAGGCGAUUCUCUGGACUGUAACUGACGCUGAGGCACGAAAGCGUGGGUAGCAAACAGGAUUAGAUACCCUGGUAGUCCACGCCGUAAACGAUGAGUACUAGGUGUAGGAGGUAUCGACCCCUUCUGUGCCGCAGUAAACACAUUAAGUACUCCGCCUGGGAAGUACGAUCGCAAGAUUAAAACUCAAAGGAAUUGACGGGGGCCCGCACAAGCAGCGGAGCAUGUGGUUUAAUUCGAAGCAACGCGAAGAACCUUACCUGGACUUGACAUCCCCUGAAUAACCUAGAGAUAGGCGAAGCCCUUCGGGGCAGGAAGACAGGUGGUGCAUGGUUGUCGUCAGCUCGUGUCGUGAGAUGUUAGGUUAAGUCCUGCAACGAGCGCAACCCUUAUUGUUAGUUGCUAACAUUCAGUUGAGCACUCUAACGAGACUGCCGCGGUUAACGCGGAGGAAGGUGGGGAUGACGUCAAAUCAUCAUGCCCCUUAUGUCCAGGGCAACACACGUGCUACAAUGGGCAGAACAAAGAGAAGCAAUACCGCGAGGUGGAGCCAAACUCAAAAACUGCUCUCAGUUCGGAUUGCAGGCUGAAACUCGCCUGCAUGAAGCUGGAGUUGCUAGUAAUCGCGAAUCAGCAUGUCGCGGUGAAUACGUUCCCGGGCCUUGUACACACCGCCCGUCACACCAUGAGAGCUGGCAACACCCGAAGUCCGUAGUCUAACGUAAGAGGACGCGGCCGAAGGUGGGGUUAGUG
rnacentral:rRNA from 1 species